rnacentral:lncRNA from 1 species
CCUGUGGUCCCACCCAGAGGCAUGAGGAAUGGUUCCCACACCCCUAUGAUUUCAUCCCCACCCAAUCAGUAGCACCAAUUCCCCAGCCCUCUGCCCACCAAAUUGUACAUAAAAACCCUAAGCUUCAAGCCUUUGGGGAGACUGACUUAAGUUAUAACUCCAGUUCUUCAGCAUGAACCAGCAUUGUGUCAAUUAAACUUUCUCUACUGUAAUGCUGUGGUCUCGGCGGACUGAUUUUGUCUGUGCAGCGGGAAGGAAGAAUCCAUCAGGCAAUUACAGUAUUCAGAUGGCAACACUUCAUCAUCUCAACUUCUUAAACAUCAGAAAGGGAAAAGUUUGGAAACAUCAAGAACAAUCUAAAAUCAGUUGCUUCCUAGAGUCAACGAAUCAAUAUAUCCAAAGACACAGAAUUCUUACCAGCCAGGACUUCCAAAUACUCAUUUAAGCCAAUAAAUGAUGGAACAAUGAAAGAAAGAGAAAGACUGCCAGAUCCAAAUAGGUAGUAAGAUAAUGAGAAUACAAAUUGCCAACAACCUUUCAUGGUAUGAGAAAGGUUACAAAUGAGACACUAAUAUCUGUUGACUAAGCCCCCAAAUAGACCAAUCCCAUCAACAGAAAUCUUGUAUCUUAAGAAGGUGUGCUUUCUUCAGUGAACCCGAGCAAUCGAGAAAAACAUAGUAUGUUUACGUUUGGCAAGAAGACCACAUUCAUUCACAAAAGUUUAAAUAUUUCACAUAGGUGGCUUCUAUACUAUCAUAUAACAUACAGUCUAAGACAUAACAGGAAAAAAGUUAACACAGAAGUAAAUUACAAAGCACCCCGCUUUGGGAUAUACUAAGGGAAGAAAACACUAUUGAUUCUGUUCAGACAGAAUUUAUGGGCAAAAGUUACUGUUGAGAACACAGCAUAAAACUCUUACUUUUCAAGAAGCACUUAGUGAACUACCCAUCUUAAAAAAAGAAAAUCUUGUCCUUUUUCUGUCCCCGUCAUUCUACUCAUUUUCAUUCUGGCAAAGUAUGCAAAAACAACAACUAUCAAAUAGGAGAUAGGAAUGCUCAGGGGUAAUAACUCAAUUCCAGUUGAAAAUAUAAAAAUAUGAAUCAAAUACGAAAUUUAGAAUAUGAAAAGAAUACACAAGUUAUGCCAAAGGUAAGAACUUUCAGAAAGUCUCAUUUGAUUUAUGUGCAUUUCAGAGUGACUGACAUCUGAGCAAAUGCUAAAGAAUUGAACUCAAUGCUCUAACAGAGCAAGAAGAACCCAACUCUCACCCCAAGACGUCCUUUUCCUUAACUGUUGUUUAUUUGUUGGAGGAAAGGGGAAGGUUUUGAAUGGUCUGUGCUCCUAAACAGUAUAGGAAGCCCACUUGCAGCCUGUAUGUUGGCCAACUCCAUCAACAGCCUUCUGCUUUAGAGAAUGUGUAAAGGGAGAUAUUUUAAAGGUAUAACUGAUCAAGUCAGUUUAAUAGACUGCAUACAACAUCAUGUCACAAUGUGAGGUGAUAGAGUGAACAGGGUCUCUUGGGCAUUGCUAGUGGAGUGCAACAUGGUACGAUGUCUACUGAGGUCAGGUUGACAACAUCUAUCAAAGUUACAAAUGUAUGUAAUAUUCCUGUACAAUGUGUAAACAUACAAUUUCA